rnacentral:rRNA from 1 species
UACGGAGGGGGCUAGCGUUGUUCGGAAUUACUGGGCGUAAAGCGCACGUAGGCGGCUUUGCAAGUUAGAGGUGAAAGCCCGGGGCUCAACCCCGGAAUUGCCUUUAAAACUGCAUCGCUAGAAUUGUGGAGAGGUAAGUGGAAUUCCGAGUGUAGAGGUGAAAUUCGUAGAUAUUCGGAAGAACACCAGUGGCGAAGGCGACUUACUGGACACAUAUGACGCUGAGGUGCGAAAGCGUGGGAGCAACAG